UCAUUCUUAUAUCUCUUUUACUAGUUUCUUCAUUCUUAUAUCUCUUAUAGAAAUCCAAUAUAUAAAUACGAGUAGAAUUAUGACUUCACUCCUUAACACUCAAUUAAGAAAGGCGGGGGAGCACUAGGGUAAUUACCCACAUACAUGAGGGAGACCCCUCCGGCUAAUUAGGUGAGUUACAGACUUAUUCUAUGAAACCCCUUCUGCUCAUGAUUCUGUUUAUGUCCAUGCCCCCCCCUCUCCUGUUGAAUUCUUACUGUUUAAGAGCACAUGGUAUGGUAGGCUAGAAAGAUAACUGGGUUAGUUGCCCUAAUCUAUGAGACAGACCCCUAUGGUCAAUUCUUUUCUUUCUCACCGGGGUUUCAACUUGUUCGAUACUCAAGCGUAGUUCCACCCCAGUUUCUGGUGGCCUUUGGCUCCUCCGUUUUCUUUUCAUCUGCAUUUUGCUUUUCAUCUGCAUUUUAUGAUAUUAAUAAGCCGAGAAGAAAUAGUCUCAAGUAAGCUGGAUCUGAAGCAGUACUAGGAAAUGAUGUUUCUGUGCAAAGGGACUCCUACUUUCUAUUAGAAUUCCUCGCUCAGGAUACUCUCAAAACGCUUCUAAACCAUAGCCAAUAGAAGCCAUGGUUGGAUCAAAUAGUUUAUAUAGAGGUGGGGAUUCCUACACGAUCGAGAUAAAGAGAACCACUCCAUAAACAAGACAAGAGAGUAUUCGAUAGACAAGCCCCUUCCUUGUUCCUACAAGCAAAGAGAAGAGAUGUAGAGAGACAGACGGGCUUCCGAGUCACGCUGUAGCUUGCUUUGUUUCAGUUCAUCUUUCUUCUUCUUUUGUUGUUAAGCGAGGGAUCGAUUCCAGCUAUCAAAUCUAGCUCGCUCCGCCACCCCUAAUUCAUUUCUAAGAUCCUGCCCAGCUACCGCUAAUUUCUUUAUUCAAAAUCCAAUCAAAUACUCAAAGAAGGGGAGAGUUAUGCUAGCUAAAUAGGCAAGAAGGGAGGAGUUGUUUUCUUUCCCUUUCCCUCAAACACAGUGAGCCUGAUAAUAGAACGUUGGCCACUAUGAAUGAAUAUUAUGUCAAUAUUAGAGAGUUAGUCUUUCUUUCCGUUGUGCCCUUAAAGCUAGGGCUGCGAUGCUCCCGCUUUUGAGUGCAUUAAGUAAGUGAGAUACUCGCUGGUAUGAAGCUGGUCAAUUGUGCCGAGCCGAGCCCUUGCCUUGGAAGCCAUCCAUUCCUACCUUCCCAGUCCAGUAUUUUUCUCGGAGAAUCCAUAUGAUAUGGCUUUACAGCUUCCUAGCCUGGGUUUGUGUGAAGCAUGAGAGCAUGAGCGAGCAAGAAGCAAACACUACUCAAAAAGGCGUAAGAUAGACUGGCUGGUCACUUACUUGAAAAAGCUCUCAAACGCUCACUUUUGACUCCUUAUAAACCUAUCUUAGUCUAGCUUUUGACCCUUGCUUGCCGCCCUAGUCUUUACUUGCAACAGAAACUCUUCUAAUCUAAGCUAACUGGCCUUAGAGCCUAAAGAAAGAAAACCACUAUAAAGAAUAGAAUAUUAGAUAUUGACUAUCCCGCUUUCAACUUGCUUUUUCAUAAACUCAUUUCCCCUAGUUUGAAAAAAAGUACUGCUGGAAAUCCUAUGCCUUCUUGAUUAUUUAAGAUCCUUUUGAAAUCGUAUGCUCUCCUAUAGACUAGAACCUAUUCCCUUUGACCUUCUAGAAACUCUAUCCGUCUGGACCAUUUGAAUCGGCUGUAUAUUGUAUUGACUGGAAGCCCUUUUUAUGAUACUGGCUAAAAAGAAAGAAAGGGACUGGGACGGGACUGCUCUGCUUACUUCUGCUGCUGGUUUGAAUUCAUUUGCACUGGCUUUUUAUUCAUCUUAUAUGCCUAGGACUUAUGUCAACACUUUCAAUACAAUGCUUUCAAACUGCCCAUGCUAUCUCGUCUUUUGCCCGCUCUAAUGCCUUAUCGAGGUUAAGACAGGAUCCUAUCUUAUCUACUCCAUUCAGCCUUCGAGUUACAUAGGAUAUUUUGUGACUCUUUCACCUUAUGAUAGAUUGAUUGAUUUCAGCUCACCAGCAUACCCAUCCAAACCAACCCUAGCCCUCAAUCGGAACUUGUGUGUAGUUAGGUACCAGACCUCUAGCACUUUGGAAGUUGUAAAACCAACUAACCCAACUUGAAAACAUUCUGACUGUUAGGAUGCUCUGACCGAGGCAGAUGGUUUAAGUGUUGGGCUGGCGCCGGGCACAGUCCUUCCUUCAUCAUAGUAGGACAACCUCAGAAGUAGUGGUCACUCCUAAGCUAUACUAAUCACUUAUUAAUCAAUUGCAAUCUUAACCAUAAGGCCCAGUCAUUGGAAGUUGGAUCUUCUCCUUGGCUAUAUGCUCCUUGCAAAUGCUUUCUGUCUACUAUAUGUCCAAAUCUUAGUGUUUAUAACUCCUUUAUGGAUGGAUUUACUUGUAGGUAAUAAGCGCAGGUGAGGCGCAUUCCAUUCUCAAUUCUCAGUUUGUUGCGAGAGCGUAUAGAUCCAGUCAAGUAAUAAGCGCAGGUGCUCUCUCUCUUUUCUUUGAGUUUGAAACUCCAUGAUUUGAUGAAAGUCCUUAUUUCGGGCUUAAAAUGACGUAGAACUACUUUUCGGUACCAACAUGUGUCAUUUGCCAUUAAAUGAGUAACUGAUAGGUUAAACGACGCAAAAGAAGGGUUUACAGCUGGACCACGUAGCGGUGAGUCAACAGAUUCCAGUCUGAUUCCAUAAUAAGAAGGGGGAGUUUUUCCGUUUCAAGAUCAUCAGCAGGUGAGCGAGCAGGAUUAGUAUCAUCAGUAGGAUUAGGAUUCUCGGCCGGGGGUGAUAUCUUUGUUAACUAAAGUAUCAUUCAAGUCGAGGUAGGAAAUGCAAAAGGUUAACAAGCUAACGGAGCUACACUGAGAUCUACUAUAUCAAUAUUGGUAAUCAAGGUAAGAUAAAGAUUAUGCAAUUUCAUUAUGAACUGGAAGUCGAGUAAAUGAUGUAUUCUUUUCUUUAUUCAAGUGUAGUUAUAUAUUCCAUACGAGUUUAUUCCAUAUUCCAGUCUUGUUCCAGAUUAAAGUAUAGUGAGUUCUUGGGGAAGAAGAAAGGUGCUGAAAGCCUAUUGAUCAGAGGCUAGAGAUAAGGAAAUGAUGUUUCUGUUAGACUUGAUUCUGUCUGUCUUUGUUGG
rnacentral:lncRNA from 1 species